AGCCUGAUCCAGCCAUGCCGCGUGAGGUGAUGAAGGCCUUCGGGUCGUAAAGCUCUUUUGCCAGGGAAUGAUAAUGACAGUGCCUGUAGCAAUAAGCUCCUGCUAGCUCCGUGCCAACAGCCGCNGGUAAUACUUCAGGGACCUAGCGUUGUUCGAUAAUUACUGGGGGUAAAGUUUACCUAAGCUGCUUAUUCAAGUCAGAGGCGAAAGCCGGGGUCUCAACCCCAGAACUGCCUCUCGAAGCUUGACCUCUGAAAUCUUGUAGAGGUCAGUUGAAUUCCGAGUGUAGAAGUGAAAUUCGAAUACAUUCGGAAGAACACCAUUGGCAAUGCGACUGACUGNACCAAUANUGACGCUGAGCCACUNGAGCUGGGGUGGCAAACAUGAUUAGAUACCCUGGUAGUCCACGCCGUUAACUAUCAUGGCUAGUCGUUCCCUCACUUGAUGACUGAGGUGACGCAGCUAACACAUUACGUUAUCCGCCUGGUAAGUACUGUCGC
rnacentral:rRNA from 1 species